UAUUCCCCUCAUUUUCCCCUCCCGGCUCCGCGCGUUGAUCCCUCCUGCAUUGUCGCCGCCGCUCCCCUCCGCCGAGCUCGACGGCGGUCGGCAGCCCCUCCUCUCCCCUCCCGCCCUCGCCCUCGCCUUCACCUGGCGCCGGUAUCACCGCCGUGGCAACCUGCACUGCGCAGCCCGUGCCUACUGGGAGUUCAUGGUUCCGUUCCUUUCUCUCUGUCUCUCUACUCUUGGUCUUCCUACUUCCAUUCCUGCCGGCGACGACUGGGCGAGCGUCGGCGCUAUUCGGCCUUCGCCGGGCCCUUUGCCGGCGACGAGUACCCACCAGUGGGAUUGAGUGGUGAUGGAAACAACUGACUACAUUGAUGCAACAUGGAGAUAGUAUGUAACCAUUUCUUUCUUAGUCUUGUAUGUUCAAUGCCAACAAGGAAUUAAGGAUAGCGUACAAGUCAAUAUCAUUGUUGAAAUGUUUAUCUGGAGCAGGACAUUGCAUUAAUUUUAUGGACCUGGCUUAGUAUAUUGAUUUAUUGAUAUAUAUAUUUAUCCAACAGACACAGUGUUAGAUAUAGCCAUUAAGAUAAAUGUUUAUGUUUAGGCUCCAGGAGACAUUUCUUUUGUAUAACCAUUGUACACUAAUUCGUUUAUACCAUCUGCACUUAUGUGACUAGCUAGUUUCCCAAAAUUGGCACCCUCCAAGUUUUGAACACAGCCAAAACAUUAAAAGAAGCCCUUAGCUGCAAGUAAUCAAAUUUGUAAACUUUUGUGCCAGUGAUCUUCUAUUUGUGUAUGAGCCAUGUUAUUUGUACGAUGGAAAUGAAGUCCCACAAUGUGUGCCUAAUGUAAAUAUUUACAUGAUUUAAUUUGAAGUCUUUUUGUGUUUUAGGAAAUGGUUGCAUUCCUUUAUUUGAAGCUUUGACAGGUGAUAUUUUUACCUCAUGAUCCUCAUCCUUACAGAGUUACAGUGCAUGGUACUACGUGGGUUGAAUGGUCAAUAUCUUGUGAUGUCACUCAGCUAUACUGAUUGCUUGGGGAAUUGGUUAUUUACUACACCUACCCCCAUCCUUGCGUCUAGCAGAAAUUUUUUUCACCACACUUGAGUCUGUUGUUGCUCAUGCAGGAGAUUUGGCAACGAUUAGAGCACCAUCCUUACUAAUGGUAGUGCUUAAAAGUAAAAAAGGCAUGAUGAUACGGCUAAUAUAUAUGCAAUGAUCCAUCCUCUAUAGUGAGGCAUAGAGCUGUUCUACAGUUUUCUACUAUAUGUUUGUCCUGCUAUUUUCAGUUCUUUCCUUGAAAAACUGAAGCUGUAUCGGCAGGAUAUUUAAUAAAUCAGUGCUGGUACAAUACAGACCAUCAGGGCAUUAGCUGAUAUGCCCCUAAUGACCCACAAAUGGUUAAUCGUUUAGUACAUUUGAUAUCAUGAACUAACAAAAUAGUUGUGCUUCAUUUAUGUUAUCGUCAUGGUAUCUUUUCUUUUUGAAUUUAGAUUGCCCCAAACUUUUCUCAUGAUUUAAGGAAAUGUUGUAUUAUACUAUCAAUUUGUACUGUCGUAGUAUCUGAGAAGCCUCUUAUCCGUAGUAUCUGAGACUAACAGGCAUAUAAAGUGCAUACUGCAUAGUAUCCCUUUGAUGAGCUGCAUCAUGGAAGGCAAUAGAAGUAAAUACCUUUUAACCUGCACCAUCCUGAUCAAGUACUGCCAAAUUAUUGUAGUUGCACAACUCUCCCAGAUGCUUCCAUAUUAAGUGCUAGACUCCUAGAAACUAGAAAUAAUUUAUGGAUUUUUUUUGUUGCCUGGUUAGAGUCGUCAUCAAGCACAGUGUAGAAAUUGUGCUUUUCUCCCAUUUAUCGAAUUCUCAACAAAACUUGACAAAAAACCAGGUGGCUCCUAACUUGAAUCACGGUUGUCAAAACUGAAAAUUCAAUGGUAUUCUGACAUUGCAGCUGGUGUACUUCCUGUUGUGCUAUUUCAGACACCGACACAAAUAGAAGACUUUUGCCCUGUAGAUAGAAUACCACUACAUUAAAUUCCAUUUAACUUUCACUUUGAGGCACACUUUCAACCAUUCCCGAAAGUGAUGAGGCCAGCUAAUGCAUUUUGCAGAAUGCGGCGUUCUCUUGUUAAUCAUCUGUUUGAAAAGAAAAGAGUUCAAUGUGAGGCAUUGAAACUGAAAAAAAAAAUAUAGUGCUUACUGCUCCUAAUGUGAUUCUCACUCUUAAAUUCAAAUUCAAAUAAUUUAAAUGAUGACAUUGAUUAUUUUAAACCUCUUUUGGAUAAUGCUUGAUUCAGAUGUGGCCUCCUAGGCUACUUAAUUGCUUGCCUGCACCUGCAUUCUGAGGUAUGUGUCCUAAUCUGCAAUCAUGGUAAAAUACUCUUUUAGUAUUUUCUGUAGCAGCAUAGGUUUGGUAUUGGUCUGUAACUCUAUUGCAAUCCCUUUCUAAGUUCGAACCUAGUGCAUUCUAAUUAUCACCUAAUCUGCAAUCGUUGUAAAAUAUUGUUUCAGUGUUUUCUGUAGCAGCAUAUGUUUGGUAUUGCCCAAAUCAUUAUUAAGAACUACUUGCUGAAAAGAAAACAGGUACUAACCCUAGUUCAUACCUGUUUUCGUUUCAGCAAGUAGUGCUUACUAGUGAUUUGGGCACCCAGAAUCAUUUACACGUGCAAGUGUCCACAGUGAUAAAGAUGCUUAUCCAUUUUCCAUCUAUGUUUUGAUAUUUGGUGCUAUGUCACCACCACCAUGUUUCUGAUUUGGACGUAUCAUACCUUCUGAACUUUUGUUUCUUAGUUGUAUGCACUAUGCAGCAUAUAUAUUUAUCUGUUUUAUCUCUUGCAGCUAAGGAAAGAACAAGAUCAGAAGUUCCAUCUUUUAUUUACACAGAUCAUAAGUUCCAUCUUUUAUUUACACUCUACGAUAGUAAAUCUUCUGUAACAUGUUGUAUGCUUCUUGUAUAAGUAGGUUAAUGAUAUUGUAUUAAUGGGGCUGUUGUAUUGUAUGGUACUAAUGGGACUGUUAUAUCAUACGGCACAAAUGUGACAGUUAUAUCGUACGGCACUAAUGGGAUUGUUGAUCGAUCAUUUUUGGGUUAAUGUUAUGGCGUCAUUGAUAGGGGGAACUCAA